GAUGAACGCUGGCGGCGUGCCUAAUACAUGCGAGUCGAGCGAACAGACGAGGAGCUUGCUCCUCUGACGUUAGCGGCGGACGGGUGAGUAACACGUGGAUAACCUACCUAUAAGACUGGGAUAACUUCGGGAAACCGGAGCUAAUACCGGAUAAUAUAUUGAACCGCAUGGUUCAAUAGUGAAAGACGGUUUUGCUGUCACUUAUAGAUGGAUCCGCGCCGCAUUAGCUAGUUGGUAAGGUAACGGCUUACCAAGGCAACGAUGCGUAGCCGACCUGAGAGGGUGAUCGGCCACACUGGAACUGAGACACGGUCCAGACUCCUACGGGAGGCAGCAGUAGGGAAUCUUCCGCAAUGGGCGAAAGCUUGACGGAGCAACGCCGCGUGAGUGAUGAAGGUCUUCGGAUCGUAAAGCUCUGUUAUUAGGGAAGAACAAAUGUGUAAGUAACUAUGCACGUCUUGACGGUACCUAAUCAGAAAGCCACGGCUAACUACGUG
rnacentral:rRNA from 1 species